AUGGCUUCAGAGGUUCUCCCCGUGGUGGACCUCCGCGUGCUCGCGCAGUCUGACCUGGACGCCCUCGCCGCCGCGUCCCUCCACGCAGUCGCUCCGCGGAGCUGCCCCGACGCCGACCCGCUCCCGCCUCUCAAGAUCGACCGUGCUGUGUUUAACGAGAGCGCGGGGUCCCGUAAGCAGACUUUCUCCCGACUCCGCUUCGCGGCAGCCGCCUCCUCCUCCCUCCCCACCUCCCCUUCCUCCAUCACGCCGUCAGCAGGCAACAACCCCGAGAACCACCUCGUCGCCUACCAUCUCCGCCGUCUCUUCGCCCGUGAAAACCCCUCCUGCCCGCCCUCGACCCCGCCUCCACCCGAAACCCUAGCCCUAUCGUCUCCCGACCCCGACCGGGAGACUACAAACUCCAAGGGGGUUUCCGUUGAUCUUGUGAGGCUCGCUGGGCUCGUCGACCCAUACGGCGUAGAGUUACGGAGGCAAACAGCCGGGCUUAUGUCGGAGGCGGAGCUAAUGGACUUCAUCAAUUGCCUCGAAGGACAGUGGGUGAGUCAGAGGCGGCGGAGGAAGUUUGUGGACGCAGCCUUCUUUGGGGAUCACCUCCCUACCGGGUGGAAGCUGCAGCUCGGGCUCAAGCGGAAGGGGCGCCAUGCCUGGGUGCAUUGCAUCCGUUACGUGAGCCCAAGGGGACAUCAGUUUCGUACUUGUAAAGAAGUUUCUGUGUAUCUUAUGUCACUUCUUGGGUAUCCGGCGGCCGUAACAGUUCCUAUUCAGUAUAACAGCACCAGACAACAUGCCUUGAGUGAUGACGAUGGUGAAGAUGAUGCUGUAGGGUUUCAACAUCAAAUUGGUUCAAGUGUGGAUAACCUAAAUGUAUUGCCAGUUACUUCUGUCACCUUUUCCAGCCGUUCCUGCAAUUCAAAGGAUACGGUAGAAGGAAAUACAAAUCCAGCAAAUACUUAUAAGUGCCAGAAUUGCAAUUUAACUUUGCACAAUCAAAGUGCCUAUGUGCAGCACCAGCUGUUAUUUCAUGAAAAGAAAGCUAAGAGGCGCAGAAAGAGUAGCAAAUUUGGUGAACCAAAAGUUGGUAAAGAUGGGAAAUUUGAAUGCCCUGUAUGUCACAAGACCUUUCAGGAGCAAUCACGGUACUUUGGCCAUGUUGGAGCCCAUGCAAGGCAUGAGGGGCUUACUCCUGAAGCUUUCUUUGAUAAGAUCUCAUCAGGACAGGCAGUUAACAACUUCUUGGAAGAGUUACAAUUUACCCCUCAGGAGCUUACUGAACCAACUGAACAAAAGGGCAAGACUGCAGGCGAAGCAUGUUCUCAGCAUCAGAGUUAUUCAAAAGGACAAGGGGGUGAUAACUCAAAAGUUAUAGAUCUUUUUAACACAAAUUGUUCCGGUAGUUUCAAUAGGCGUAGUGAAGCUUGGUGUAGACAGGUAGAGGUUCCUCCUGUUACAGAUGCUCAAAGUGCAUGCAGAUACAGAAAUGAUAUGAUGGAUUAUGCCAAUGUAACUGUUCCAAAACCAAAAGUAGCUCCUGAAUCCAAUGAUGAACCAAAUGGCAGGCUUAACGGCUUUGCUGAAGUUGAUGAUUUUAGUGAUCACACGGGAAGUGGCCAUGACUUCAGACCUUCUAGCUUCUCAAGUGCUAAACAUUACGAGGACCAGAUUGUUGAUCGUGGCUUUCCUGUUUCAAAGCGUGGCGAGGUCAAUAAUACUGUGAAAGCAAGAGACGUCAACCUUAAUUCAUGCCUGGACACAAUAUCUUUCCCGAUUGCUAGUGCAAACAAUCAAACUUCUACUGCUGUUAAUGAGGCUAAUCAAUCAUCCAUUGCUGGAAAAUGCUUCAUUGGCAGUUUUAAUAAUAAUGGUGGUGCAUCUACUACAUCAUCCUGUUCUGGCUCAAAUAAUAAAGUAUCUGGUUCCCUUGGUGGAUCUAACGGAUCCUCUAAUGCUGCCAGAUGCAUCGGUGGUAGUUAUGGUAAUGAUGCUGCAGCUAACAUUUUUGGCAACAAGAACAAUACCAUGGUGUACCAGUCUAGUUUGAACACAUGCCCCAUCUCUCAUGUUGCAACUAAUGUGGAUUCUUCUGUUUCCCGUUCAACACAUGCAAAGAACAGUGACAAAGAGCGUGCAUACAAUACCAAGGAACAAAUGAAUACCACACAGAACAGAGCAAGUAAUGAAGCUGUUGAAGGCUAUAAUAAUGAUGUGUAUACUGGUAGUAUCACUGAAAGGAGUCUUGCCCAGUGUAGUAAUAACUUGAGUCACCCAAAACCCAACAUUCUGAGCCGCUGUGCACUACCGGACUCAAGCACUUUGACAGCCAGUAACUUAACCAAGGGAAUUGAUGUCAACUGCAUGAAUGGUUCUUUUGUUUAUAGAAAUGAUGCCAACGUGGAGGGUCCUUCUGUAAAUAGGCCCAUGAAUAAUAAUGAUUCAAUGGGUUCUGUGCAUGCCGUGUUGGGAAAGCCAAGUAACGAUAUGCAGAAUCAUUACAGUGGUAGUGCUCCUAAUUACACCCCGCUUGCUGCAGCAGCUAAUAUCAACGAUCUAAUACCUAUGCAGAGCAAUUUUGAUGGCAUGUCCACUUUGGUUCAUUCUGCUGGUGAUGUUCCAAGGAGCAGCACAACCCAGGAUCAGUGUGCGUUGCAACUUGGAUUUGGUGGCCAGAAGCAGCACGUAUUUCCUGGUUAUGGAUGGGCUGCAUUUGGAUCCCCUCAGCUUGUGGGCUUGGCCAGAAAUAAUAAUUUACCCACUAGAUCCUCACAGUUUGGGAGCAUGGUCAGACCUAAUUCUUCUCCUUCUGGAUCCUCUCAGUUAGGGAGUGUGGCAAGUUCUGAUUAUCUGCAAACUGGAUCAUCUCAGUUUGGGCGCAUGGCUGGACCUUCUAUACCUGCUGCCGAAUCCUCUCAGUUUAGGCACAUGGACGGACCUAAUUCUAAACAUUCUGCUGAAUCCUCUCAGUAUUGGCACAUGGCUGGAACCAAUUCUAGACCUCCUGCUGGAUCCUCUCAGUUUGGGAGCGUGGUCAGACCUAAUCCUGUACCUUCCACUGAACCCUCUCAGUUUGGGAGCUUGGCCAGGCAGAAUUCUGGGAGGACAUCCGAGCCAACUUUAGUGUUGGGGAAUGUACCACAGACGGGAAGUGGCCCUCCGGCCCAGUCAGGAUGGGAUCUCAAGGUACCAAGGAUGGUUAGUGGAGGGAGCAUGCUCGCAGCAGUAUGUACAUGGUGCAACAGCCAGUUCCACCAUUUUGGCCCCGUCGAUGGACAGCAGGAGAUCCUAAUUAUGUUGCUCAGAUAA
rnacentral:rRNA from 1 species